CUGUGUGAGAGGAUCAUAUAUGUGUGUCUGCAAGGACACCAGGGGCAUAACCUAACAAAUGUGUGGGGUCAAUUGGUUUCCCAAAGGGACUCUACUGAGAAGCUGGCUCACCAAGUCACGGCCCAGAUUGCUGCUGCUGAUUGCAGGGUUAAAGAGGCCCCAGGUGACCCUCAUGAGGAGGAAAAGGAUGAAGCGCACAAAAGUAGCAAAGGCCACGUAAGCGAACCUGCAGCCGAAUGCCCCACUUCUGCUGAGUUCUUGACAGUGCGGAGUUGCUUAUGGAAAUCAAAGGAAAGGACAACCUUUGCGUAACAUAAAUGCUCCAAAAAGAACUAAAAUGCAACAAAUGCUAAACAAAAGGAAGACAGAGAACAAACUGAAGAGAUUGAGGUCUCCAGACUAAAUCAGAAAGCUUUCUUGACCACCCACUUCUGUCACUGUACUGACUGUGACUUUGUACAUCUUUCCUAUAGAUGUGUUGGUAGAUCGCCCCUGCUGUCGUUUUCCUAGUUUAACUCUAUCUGGUUUGAGUUCGUACGCAGCUCAAACUAGUUACUGAUUAAACUCUGUAUGUUUAACCCACCACUGUCUCACAUUCUUCAGUCAAUGCUUUUCAAAUAGCAAUUACUUCACUGCAUGAUAAUGCUUUGCAUACCAGUCACUACAACUGAUACUACUAAUACUACUACCACUAGGAGAAAAUUAAUUUACCAUUUUGUGCUUGAAUCUUCUUUCAUAUUCUUCCCCUGCUGUCUCUUACAUAUUAUAUAUACUUUUUUAAUUUUUAUUUUACUUCUUAAACCAGGGUUCAGAUAAUAUCCUUCUAUUGAAGGCUAACAGUGACACAAAUCUCCAAAAUUAAUGUUAUUUAAUUCAUUGUUACUAAUACAUUUUAAA